rnacentral:snRNA from 1 species
GAGCUUGCCUGGUGGGGGAGAUACCAUGAUCACGAAGGUGGUUUUCCCAGGGCAAGGCUGAUCCAUUGCACUGCGGGUGUGCUGACCCCUGCGAUUUUCCCCAAAUGCGGGAACCUCGCCUGCAAGAAC